rnacentral:misc_RNA from 1 species
AGUGGACGAUCAGUUUCUACAUACACUGCAAUUCUUUCUCAAAGAGUACUCUCAAACUCCGAGCUAGUAGAGUUAAAUCGAAACGAAGAAUAGGUCGGUGGUACAAUGAGCCGACCAACUACACGAAGCAAAAAUAAAAGACACAGACAAGGGGACAAUGUUAAUAUCACUUCUGAAAUAAUGAGGAAAAUUCAUGCAACUGGUG